CCAUUAAUUUGGAGGAAUGUAUAGCAUUUGCUAGUUAUAUUAACUAUAAGUUAAUAUAGCAUCGAUUUAUUCGAAUAAAGUUCUAGAUAAAAUAAUGAUAAUGACAAUUUUUUAUCUAUAUGUCUUGACCAAAUCAUGUGCCAGCAGUCGCGGUAAGACAUGGAAGACUAGUGUUAUUCAUCUUUAAUAGGUUUAAAGGGUACUUAGACGGUAUUUCUAGCCAAAAAAGGUACGGAUUUACUAGAGUUUUAUAUGAGAGGGUGAGUAUUUUAGGUGUAGAGAUGAAAUUUUUUAAUACCUUAAGGACUGAUAACGGCGAAAGCAACCUUCUAUGUAAUAACUGACGUUGAGGGACGAAGGCUUGGGUAGCAAACAGGAUUAGAUACCCUAAUAGUCCAAGCAGAAAAUUAUGAAUGCCAUAGAUUAGAUUUAUAUUUAGUUUAUAAAUAAAAGUGUAAGCAUUCCACCUCAAGAGUAAUGUGGCAACGCAGGAACUGAAAUCAUUAGACCGUUUCUGAAACCAGUAGUGAAGUAUGUUAUUUAAUUCGACGACCCACGAAAAACCUUACCACAAUUUGAAUGUUAAAUUUAUUUAACACAAGCGUUGCAUGGCUGUCUUCAGUUAAUGUCGUGAGAUUUGGUUAGUUCCAUUAAAUUAACGUAAACCCUUGCUUUAUUUAUAUAUUUUUGUAUAAAGCAGUUCACCAUUAUAUUGGAUAUGAUAAAAGGGACUAAGACAAGUCAACAUGACCUUAAUAUUGUGG
rnacentral:rRNA from 1 species